rnacentral:tRNA from 1 species
GGGGAUAUAGCUCAGCUGGUAGAGUGCUUGCCUUACAUGCACUAGGCCCAGGGUUCAAUCCCUUAGCACCU